ACAGAAAGCCCAGCAAAUCCUGUUUAUUAAAUUAUGCGGUGUUGUUGGAUGAAUAAGCAAAGAUAGCACAGCACAAGGUAUCAACACAUAAUAAAUUGCAAAGUUGUCUUUGUCAUCCAUGUAACUGGACCUCAAUUUGAAGCGAAUCAUAUAAAUCACCCAAAGUGUUGUCAGCAAUGUAGCUGAAUCAAGCAAUGUAUGUAUGUCAUAUUCCAUGACCACGCUGCAAUAGAGUCUAACAGCUAAAAAAAUAGCUGUCAACUCCUGUGAUUUCAGCGAAAGCCCAGCACAAGUCUUCUCCUUCAUGAGCUUGUAGAUUAGGACAGAGAUUCCAAUGGCAUGAACAGCCUCGGCAGCAACGAAUAGGUUGUCGUGAUCAUGAACCACCAUCCUGAGAAAAACCAAAGCUGCCAUCCCAGAAAUUACAGCUAAAAAAGCCUUGAUCUUGGGCGGUUGCCUCUGGACCCAUGAGGCCACUGCAUGGAUCGGCCUCUUCGUCGCCUUCAUCUUAUAUUCCCUUAUCUCUAUCUAGUAGGAGAGCACCCACUUGCAGAAUCCAGUGACGGUAUUCAGCGAGGGAAGUUGAAGAGAAGCGAAUGGCCUUGAAUCUUGAUGAUCUCGUAUUAGAUCCGUUAUGGAGGAGGUAUAAAAGUGAAAGA
rnacentral:misc_RNA from 1 species